GUGAGGAAUAUUGCGCAAUGGCCGAAAGGCUGACGCAGCGACGCCGCGUGAAGGAUGAAGUCCGUUAGGAUGUAAACUUCUUUUGCAGGGGAUGAAUGUUCCGGUUUCCGGAAUUGACCGUACCCUGCGAAUAAGGAUCGGCUAACUACGUGCCAGCAGCCGCGGUAAUACGUAGGAUCCGAGCGUUGUCCGGAAUUACUGGGUGUAAAGGGCGUGUAGGUGGGUCUCUAAGUCGGUGGUGAAAUCCUGCAGCUCAACUGCAGAACUGCCAUCGAUACUGGAGGUCUUGAGUACGGCAGAGGGAGAUGGAAUUCAUGGUGUAGCGGUGAAAUGUGUAGAUAUCAUGAAGAACACCGGUAGCGAAGGCGGUCUCCUGGUCCGUAACUGACACUGAGGCGCGAAAGCGUGGGGAGCAAACAGGAUUAGAUACCCCUGUAGUCC
rnacentral:rRNA from 1 species